UGACUGAGGUUUGGAUCCCAGAAGUGUGGUACAUGUGUCCAGAACUAGAUCAUCAAGGAGCAAAUGUCCUUCUGCCGUAUUUUUAUUUUGGCCCAAGGUCUCAAACUCAUGGUUCUCUUUGGAACUUACUUUCAACAAAUACCAGUGGACGUUCAGAAAAAGCUGACCUUCUGAGAGAAAUGUGACAUGAAAUAUACAGCAGUGUGCCACAUGUUCAAUUUAAGGCAAUGCAGAUGUAGAAAUGGAGGCCCAAAGAAAUUAACUAGCUUGUUGGUUAUAUAAUUAUUUAAUGGGACUCUAGAUCUUGAUGUCAGGUCUUCUGAUUGUUAAAGUCACUUUAUUCCCAGGAUUUAAGAUUUGCUUUAAAGAACAGACUAUUCCAUGUUAAGAUUAUAAUCGUAUGGUACCAGGACUAAUAAACUACUGGAAGAUACCAGAUAUUUCUAAUGACUUUGCCCAAUGUUUGGUGUUGAGUUUCCAUCAAGAGAAUAAAACUCAGUUAUUGGUCUGUCUUCUCAUCCACAGCAGAGAUCAAAAUGAGCACAGCUUCCCCACAGAGCAGGUGCUAUGAGCAGUGUAGCAGAUCAUCUGCCUCAAGAUCUUCUUCCUACUACCAGAUCUCCUUUUACAUGGCUAGGAAAAUGGAUGUCUGCAGCCACAGAUUCAGAUUCUUCCGGUGACUACAUGUAAAUAAAUAUAAUUAUACAUAUAAAGCAGGCCCUGCUUAAGGAGCUAUGAAUGCCACAAUGAAGAACACAGAUGUGAAAACUUGACCUUUAGGAUUACCUUUUGAGAAGAGGCAAUUAACAACAUAAGUGCUCCCAGGUGCUAUUGUAUCCGGAUGAAGUUUGCUGCAAGCUGUAGUUCUACAGGAGCCAUUCUCACAAGGUAAGGAUACUGCCAUAUCAGCCAGCCUGGAAUGGCUCACGUGUUAGCCCCUAUUUCCUUGCAGUCCAUCCCAGAUUCAGAAUUUGACCAUGCUAAGAGCUAAGUAUGUAUAAUUUUUCAUCAUCCACCUGAAAAACAGCACCUGAAACUGGGAGCACAUCACAGAGCAGGCAUAAGACUGACAAUGGAACUAUUCUGGGCAACAUUGUCGUUAAGGGACAUGUGACAAUUUCCAAAAAAUGCUCCUUUUAGAAACAUGAGAAAAAACCCACUUUUUUUAAUCUUCAGGAAAAUGAAGUGAUUCCUUAAAAGUAAACACAGCAUUAAGGCAAAACAGUCUUUCCUUAAAAAUCAAAAAUAUUUAAGGGGCUCCUGAGUGGUUCAGUUAGUUAAGCGUCCGACUUCUACUCGGGUCAUUAUCUCAUGGUUUGUGAGUUCAAGCCCCUCGUUGGGCUCUGUGCUGACAGCUCAGAGCCUGGAGUCUGCUUCGGAUUUUGUCUCCUUCUUUCUCUGCCCCUCCCCGCUUGUGCUCUGUCUCUCUGUCUCUCAAAAAUAAAUAAAUGUAAAAAAACAAAAACAAGUUUAAAAGAAGAUAAAAAAUAUUUUGAGGAAUCUGUCGCUACUUAAAGGAAAUUCAUUUCAGUGACCUAAGAGGUCACCAGUGAGAAAUGUCUCAUUUCUAAAGGAAAGCUUUACUUCAAACAAACAAGAUAUAACAUAAAAACAAAACUUGUUCUUAUCAGAAUUAUAUACUUUUAAGUAUCCAACAUAUUCAAACUUCUAGAAACAAUGUAGGAAGACAGAGCUCUCUUGAAAUGGACCUGUUGCAGUGUAAUGAGAUGCCAAAGAAAACAUUUCAUUUGAUAAUAAGCAAAUAUUAACCUAAGAGCACUUUAAGGGAAAAUGGAAUGCAAGAGUCACCAGUGGAUCUUAGAAUAGUGUCUCUAUCAUACUAAUAAAGCAUGUUUAUAUAUUGCCCAAGAAUAUAACUUAUUCCCAUUUUCAUCUGACUUUUAUUAUACUCAAUGCUCAAGUGCUUAUAAGUCCUCCUCUAUUGUAGAAAUACUUAAGGAAGAUAACUCAUCAGUUUGACUUUCUUGAGGAAUCAAAUAGAAUGUCUAAUGCAAGAUAAUGUCUCUGAAUAAGAAGAAAAUGAAUAAACUAGAAGAAAGUGAAAAAUGACAAUAUCCCUGGGUAAAUCUCAGGAUUCUUUGGAAUGCUACUAGUUGGAGACUUUUUGCCAGGAAAUAUUAGUUUGAGAAAAAAUGAAUUCAAUUUAAAAAGGAGGAAAAUCAAUUAGAUUCAAUUUUAAUAAUUCUUCAUUUAGAAUGAGUGUGUGUGUGUGUGUGUGUGUGCGUGUGCAUAUAGAUAUAAUACUCUAUGUUCUAGUUCUGUAGUGAUAGAAAUCCCUUUCAUUUAUUGAAAAUAACAAAACAAAAAGGGUUGGGAUAAUAACAGCUUUGCUUUGUUAGCAACUUCUCAGGAUUCUGUAAUAGAUACAUUAAUUUGGGUUAUUUUGCUGGAAAGCUGAAUAAGAUCAGAACUUUAUUUUCUUCACAGCUUUGUUCACUACACUGAAUCCAUUUGAAAGUCCUCAGAAAUUUCACCAGCCUGGACUAGUCAUAAACAUUAUCUCAACUCUGGUUUGAAUAGGACUUUUCAAUUCAGUCUGAUAAUCCUGGUAGGAAGCUGUCCAUCACCCAUAUGAAAGAAUAAAUGUGCUUGUUUAAAUAAUCAGUUUUCUAGAAUUUUGGUCAAAUGUUUAUAUACUGCCCAAAGUCCUUUUUUUUGUUUUAACUUAUCAAAUUUUGGAUCAUCCACAAAUGCCUUAAAAUAUUAGGUUAUAUGGUCAAAAUGCAGAAUAUUGAAUUAAUAUUUUAAAAUAAACAUAUGAAGGGUGCCUGAGUGGCUCAUUUGGUUGAGUGUCUGACCCUUGGUUUCCAUUCAGGUCAUGAUCCCAGAGUCAUGGAAUAGAGCCCUGCAUCGGACUCUGUUCUAAGUGUGGAGCCUACUUGGGCUUCUCUCUCUCUUCCUCUGCUUCUCUCCCUUUGCCCCU